rnacentral:ncRNA from 1 species
AAUUUCGAAUUGUUGUAUUGUGCGGUAUUGGAUACACUAUUUAUUUUAUUUAUUUAUUUGAACACAUAAAUUUUGGUUCAAACAGGCACCGAAUACAUAUGCGCCAUAAAAGCCAAUUGAUUUGUGUGUGAGCUGUGAUACUACCCGAGUGCUCAGACCGAAUGUUUUCAUUGAUCAGGAGCGAAAGUCAGAAUUUCGAAGACGAUCAAAUACCGUCGUAGUUCUGACCAUAAACGAUGCAAACUGACGAUCCGCGUUUGUUCUAUAAUUGACAUCGCUGGAAGUCCUCGGGAAACCUUUAAGUCUUUUGGCU